rnacentral:rRNA from 1 species
GACGAACGCUGGCGGCGUGCUUAACACAUGCAAGUCGAACGGAAAGGCCCUGCUUUUGUGGGGUGCUCGAGUGGCGAACGGGUGAGUAACACGUGAGUAACCUGCCCUUGACUUUGGGAUAACUUCAGGAAACUGGGGCUAAUACCGGAUAGGAGCGCCUGCUGCAUGGGGGGGGUUGGAAAGUUUCGGCGGUUGGGGAUGGACUCGCGGCUUAUCAGCUUGUUGGUGGGGUAGUGGCUUACGCAUGCUUUGACGGGUAGCCGGCCUGAGAGGGUGACCGGGCACAGUGGGACUGAGAUACGGCCCGUACGGCUACGGGGGGCAGGGGUGGAGAAUAUUGCGCAAUGGGCGGAAGCCUGAUGCAGCAACGCCGCGUGCGGGAUGACGGCCGUAGGGGUGUAAACCGCGUGAGCCUGUAACGAAGAGUGAGUGACGGUAAUGGGUAAAGAAGCACCGGCUAACUACGUG